AUGAACGCUAGCUACAGGCUUAACACAUGCAAGUCGAGGGGCAUCAGGAAGAAAGCUUGCUUUCUUUGCUGGCGACCGGCGCACGGGUGAGUAACACGUAUCCAACCUGCCCUUUACUCGGGGAUAGCCUUUCGAAAGAAAGAUUAAUACCCGAUGGCAUAAUGAUUCCGCAUGGUUUCAUUAUUAAAGGAUUCCGGUAAAGGAUGGGGAUGCGUUCCAUUAGGUUGUUGGUGAGGUAACGGCUCACCAAGCCUUCGAUGGAUAGGGGUUCUGAGAGGAAGGUCCCCCACAUUGGAACUGAGACACGGUCCAAACUCCUACGGGAGGCAGCAGUGAGGAAUAUUGGUCAAUGGGCGCUAGCCUGAACCAGCCAAGUAGCGUGAAGGAUGAAGGCUCUAUGGGUCGUAAACUUCUUUUAUAUAAGAAUAAAGUGCAGUAUGUAUACUGUUUUGUAUGUAUUAUAUGAAUAAUGAUCGGCUAACUCCGUGCCAGCAGCCGCGGUAAUACGGAGGAUCCGAGCGUUAUCCGGAUUUAUUGGGUUUAAAGGGAGCGUAGGUGGACUGGUAAGUCAGUUGUGAAAGUUUGCGGCUCAACCGUAAAAUUGCAGUUGAUACUGUCAGUCUUGAGUACAGUAGAGGUGGGCGGAAUUCGUGGUGUAGCGGUGAAAUGCUUAGAUAUCACGAAGAACUCCGAUUGCGAAGGCAGCUCACUGGACUGCAACUGACACUGAUGCUCGAAAGUGUGGGUAUCAAACAGGAUUAGAUACCCUGGUAGUCCACACAGUAAACGAUGAAUACUCGCUGUUUGCGAUAUACAGUAAGCGGCCAAGCGAAAGCAUUAAGUAUUCCACCUGGGGAGUACGCCGGCAACGGUGAAACUCAAAGGAAUUGACGGGGGCCCGCACAAGCGGAGGAACAUGUGGUUUAAUUCGAUGAUACGCGAGGAACCUUACCCGGGCUUAAAUUGCAGUGGAAUGAUGUGGAAACAUGUCAGUGAGCAAUCACCGCUGUGAAGGUGCUGCAUGGUUGUCGUCAGCUCGUGCCGUGAGGUGUCGGCUUAAGUGCCAUAACGAGCGCAACCCUUGUUGUCAGUUACUAACAGGUUCCGCUGAGGACUCUGACAAGACUGCCAUCGUAAGAUGUGAGGAAGGUGGGGAUGACGUCAAAUCAGCACGGCCCUUACGUCCGGGGCUACACACGUGUUACAAUGGGGGGUACAGAAGGCAGCUAGCGGGUGACCGUAUGCUAAUCCCGAAAGCCUCUCUCAGUUCGGAUCGAAGUCUGCAACCCGACUUCGUGAAGCUGGAUUCGCUAGUAAUCGCGCAUCAGCCACGGCGCGGUGAAUACGUUCCCGGGCCUUGUACACACCGCCCGUCAAGCCAUGGGAGCCGGGGGUACCUGAAGUACGUAACCGCAAGGAUCGUCCUAGGGUAAAACUGGUGACUGGGGCU
rnacentral:rRNA from 1 species